AGUCGAACGGUAACAGGGUAGCAAUACCGCUGACGAGUGGCGCACGGGUGCGUAACGCGUAUGUAACUUACCUCUAACAGGGGGAUAGCCCUUCGAAAGAAGGAUUAAUACCCCAUAGUAUUUGAUUGUCGCAUGACAUUCAGAUUAAAGCUCCGGCGGUUAGAGAUAGGCAUGCGUGACAUUAGCUAGUUGGUGAGGUAACGGCUCACCAAGGCGACGAUGUCUAGGGGUUCUGAGAGGAUGAUCCCCCACACUGGUACUGAGACACGGACCAGACUCCUACGGGAGGCAGCAGUAAGGAAUAUUGGUCAAUGGACGCAAGUCUGAACCAGCCAUGCCGCGUGCAGGAUGACAGCCCUAUGGGUCGUAAACUGCUUUUGUACGGGAAUAAACCCUUCUACGUGUAGAAGGCUGAAGGUACCGUAAGAAUAAGGAUCGGCUAACUCCGUGCCAGCAGCCGCGGUAAUACGGAGGAUGCAAGCGUUAUCCGGAAUUAUUGGGCGUAAAGCGUCCGUAGGUGGUUGUUCAAGUCUGCUGUUAAAGCGUGCGGCUUAACCGCAUACCAGCAGUGGAAACUGGACGACUAGAGUGCGGUAGGGGUCAGGGGAAUUCCCAGUGUAGCGGUGAAAUGCGUAGAUAUUGGGAAGAACACCGGUGGCGAAAGCGCCUG
rnacentral:rRNA from 1 species